rnacentral:tRNA from 1 species
GUAGUCGUGGCAGGGUGGUUAAGGCGAUGUACUAGAAAUCCAUUGGGCUCUGCCCGGGCUGGUUCGAAUCCUGCCGACUACG